rnacentral:rRNA from 1 species
ACUCAAAUGAAUAGACGGGGGCCCGCACAAGCGGUGGAGCAUGUGGUUCAAUUCGACGCAACGCGAAGAACCUUACCCAGGCUUGAACAGCGAGUGACACACUCCGAAAGGGGUCUUCCGCAAGGACACUCGUAGAGGUGCUGCAUGGCUGUCGUCAGCUCGUGUCGUGAGAUGUUGGGUUAAGUCCCGCAACGAGCGCAACCCUUGUUUGCUGUUGCCAUCAGGUAAUGCUGGGCACUCUGCAAAGACUGCCGGUGAUAAACCGGAGGAAGGUGGGGAUGACGUCAAGUCAGCAUGGCCUUUAUGUCUGGGGCUACACACGUGCUACAAUGGCCGAUACAAACCGUCGCAAAACCGCAAGGUGAAGCUAAUCGGAGAAAGUCGGUCUCAGUUCGGAUUGUAGGCUGCAACUCGCCUGCAUGAAGUUGGAAUCGCUAGUAAUCGCGGAUCAGCACGCCGCGGUGAAUACGUUCCCGGGCCUUGCACACACCGCCCGU